rnacentral:lncRNA from 1 species
CGGGCAGGGCUCCACUCACUUAGGCAGAGGCUGGUCUUUGUCAGCAGUGAGGGAAGGACUGUCCUUGGACGAGCAGCUGCGGUGACUCACUCACCCCUCAAUGAGAAUGAAAACCUCCUAGCCAGCUGCCAGGAGCUUGUGUAAAGGACCGGGGUUUUUGAUAAACCUGGGACCCAGCCAAGGAAGGCUGGCCUGGAUGGGAACCAAAGGCUUGGGAAUGAGUUCCAGCUUAAUACUGUUGUCCAGGUAGUGAGCAAAUCAUAAAGAAGGGAGGAAGCGUUUGGGAGCCCAGUUCCCAACUGCCCAAAUAUACCUCCCUCUCUGCCUGCACACCCCUUCCUUUGGAGGCAGCUGCUUAUCCUAGCAGAAGUUUCCAGGAUCUGAGCUGAGCCCUCCUACAGGUUCUGUUCCCAGCACUUCUAAUGCUCACACAUUUGCUACAUAGGAGAAAUGCUACUGCCCAUUGCAGCAAUAAACCCAAGGUUACAGGCAGUUAGUGGAGCUGAGGCCCAGGAGCUAGCCUCCUGCUCACCUCCCUGCCUGCGUGGCUUGCCUGCCUCUCCUGUUCUCUA